GAGUUUAGAAGAGUUUGCCCUCGACUCAUACUCGCAGCAUGGUCGACACGAGGUCCUAGGUCUUUGUAAAUCUCCUUCAUGCUCGAGAGUAGUCCCCGCGUACUCGAGGCCUCAGCUAGGUCGCGGCGUAUUUUUCAACAAGCUGAAAAAUGCCCGCGAGUA